UACGGAGGGUGCAAGCGUUAUCCGGAUUCACUGGGUUUAAAGGGUGCGUAGGUGGGCUAGUAAGUCCGUGGUGAAAUCUCUGAGCUUAACUCGGAAACUGCCGUGGAUACUAUUAGUCUUGAAUCUCGUGGAGGUAAGCGGAAUAUGUCAUGUAGCGGUGAAAUGCUUAGAUAUGACAUAGAACACCGAUAGCGAAGGCAGCUUGCUACACGAGUAUUGACACUGAGGCACGAAAGCGCUGGGGAUCAAACAGGAGUUAGAAACCCUAGAUAACGU
rnacentral:rRNA from 1 species